AUGACGUUAUCCCCUCACACACUCCGCCCGCCCCUCCCCCUCUCGCUCCCGCUCCCGCCAACUUCAAACCGCCGCCCGCCGCCCCGGCCCCUCCACCCGUCGCUCGCGCGCCGCCGCAGAAGCGUCCUCCUCCCCAAGCCGCCGCGCGCGGGCGCGGGCGCCGGGGACGGCAUGGCGACGCACGGGGCGCACCCCACGCUGCUCGAGCACAUGGGCCGGGCCGGCGCGCCCGCCGACCUCGCCGUCCUCGUCGCCCACAUCCAGGCCGCCUGCAAGCGCAUCGCCGCGCUCGUCGCGUCCCCCGGCAACGCCGACCUGUCGCGGGCCAAGCCGGCCGCUGCCGGUGCUGCAUCCGCGGCCGGCCGCGACGCGCCCAAGCCGCUCGACGAAUUGUCGAACGAGAUCAUCCUGUCGUCACUCCAAAGCUCUGGAAAAGUUGCGGUGGUGGCUUCCGAAGAAAAUGAUCUCCCCGUGUGGAUGUGCGACGACGGUCCCUACGUUGUUGUCACAGACCCGCUUGAUGGUUCUCGCAACAUCGAGGUGUCGAUCCCCACUGGAACGAUAUUCGGGAUCUACGAUAGGCUGGUGGAACUCGACCAGCUCCCUGUGGAGGAGAAAGCUCAGCUUAAUUCACUGCAGAGCGGUUCUCGCUUGGUCGCUGCUGGAUAUGUCCUGUAUUCAUCUGCUACCAUCUUCUGCAUCAGUUUUGGUGCGGGAACCCAUGGCUUCACUUUGGAUAGAUCAACAGGAGAAUUUGUUCUGACACAUCCAUCCAUGCAAAUACCCCCUAGAGGACAGAUAUAUUCAGUGAAUGAUGCGCGGUACUUCGACUGGCCAGAGGGCCUGAAGAAGUACAUUGACACGAUCAGACAAGGCAAGGGGCAGCAUCCCAAGAAGUACUCGGCUCGGUAUGUGUGCUCACUGGUUGCUGAUUUUCAUCGGACGAUCAUAUACGGUGGAGUUGCAAUGAACCCGAGGGAUCACCUUCGGUUGGUUUACGAGGCAAAUCCUCUCAGUUUCCUUGCCGAGCAGGCAGGGGGGCGAGGCUCGGAUGGCAAAACCAGAAUCCUCUCCAUUCAGCCUGUGAAGCUGCACCAGAGGCUGCCAUUGUUCCUGGGGAGCAUGGAGGACAUGCUUGAGCUAGAAAGCUAUGGGGAUGUCCAGCAGAAGGUCAAUCCUGGAUACGAUGUUUAA
rnacentral:rRNA from 1 species